rnacentral:rRNA from 1 species
GCGAGCUUAAACCGAUAGGUGUAGGCGGAGCGAAAGCGAGUCUUAAUAGGGCGUUUUAGUUCGUUGGAUUAGACCCGAAGCCGGGUGAUCUAGCCAUGGGCAGGUUGAAGGUGCGGUAACACGCACUGGAGGACCGAACCCGAGAAUGUUGAAAAAUUCCGGGAUGACCUGUGGCUAGGGGUGAAAGGCUAAUCAAACCCGGCAAUAGCUGGUUCUCCGCGAAAGCUAUUUAGGUAGCGCGUUGUGUCUUACCCUCGGGGGUAGAGCACUGGAUGGGGAAGGGGGGCGCGAGCCUUACCAACUCUAACCAAACUCCG